CUACUUUUUAGUCCGUGUCUUUGACGAAAUAGACUUUUUUUAACGGGGGAUUUACGGACAAUAUUAUAUCAUAUCAUGUCGUGCAGUAAAUCUUUGAAGGCUACAGAUCUCCAUUCGUCCUGGAAAGUCGAGUUUGACUGGAAGGAUUUUCCGGAAGAACUUGUUCAGGGAUGUUGUGCUGUUGCAUCUGUUUUGUGCGUGCCAACGGUGGCUGUUUUAUAUAGCCUUAUCACGGUCGCGGCUUUUGCUGUAAGCCAUGCACAAGUCUCUCCACCUGACACCAAAUGGAGGGAAAAUGUUCUUCUGUGGACAGCCAUCUGUCUGCCAACAGGCGCUGGGAAAUCUACUAUCUGUAAAUGGAUUCAAGAACUUGUGACUGAUGUUUACACGAAGUUGCGGAAAGACCAUACGGGCAGUGGUAGUCCGUCUGCUGGGUUUACUUAUGUACUAAAUGGUGGAAGUACUUCAAUUAAUUGUUAAAUUACAAGGAAUAACAUAACAACUACUACUUCUUAUGAUACAAAGUAGUGAAAGAUGACUGCAAUACAUGUAGUUUAUGAAUAGAUAGGGGAGAUGUUUUCAGGUACUUGUAUUUAGAAG